rnacentral:misc_RNA from 1 species
AAGACUAUAGACCUGCGGAGUACCUGCGGAAGGAUCAUUAUUGAAUUAUGUUUCUAAAUGGGUUGUAGCUGGCUCGUCAGAGCAUGUGCACGCCUGUUUGGACUUCAUUUUCAUCCACCUGUGCACCCAUUGUAGUCUUUGGUUGGGUAUCAAGGAAGUGGUCAGCCUAUCAGCACUUGCUGGAUGUGAGGACUUGCAGUGUGAAAGCUUUGCUGUCCUUUACUUGAUCAUGGAGUUGUU